AGGAACCUUCCCAGCUAUCGCCACACUGAGACAAGAGGCCAGGAUACCGAUUGAUGGCAGGAGGACACACAUUUCCAUUUGGACCUUUCUCCUUCUGUUCUGGUUUGGGACCAUCCACUGAGGACUAUUGGGAACACUUCACCAAACUGUGACAGGAAGCUCACUUCUACAUUUUACUAAUGGCCUGUACUAUGGACAUAGUAGGAUAUCAUACCAAGAAAACAUGGAAAAAUGAAUGAAAAAAAGACAAGAAAAAUGACCAUAAGAAGUUCAUAAAAUCAUUCAGGAGAAUCCACUCUUCAGAAGGAACUUGACAAUGACCUCUCUGGACUGGGAAAAGUCAAAGGAAAGUCAGGGACAGAGGACAAACAUGGAGAGAAGUGACACCUUACACAGAGGCCUGAGGAUGAGCAAGACAAAGUAAAAAACUUUCAGGAGUGUCCAGUUAUGUGCUGAUGAGGAGGGAAAGGGAGACCAAGGCUGGGGGAGCCCACAGUCAACUUAGGAGUCAUGGAAACCCAACACUGGAAGAUAAGUACCUGGCUGAUAACCAACCCCCACCCAAACUCAAAGUCCACUUUCCUAGCCUGGACUACUUUUUUGUCUUCUAGAAUCUUCUUUAGCACAUUAGAAGUCGACCUUCUAUUGUUGACCAAAUAACCUGCAUUUGAAAGAAGUAGCUGACAUGUGAGCACUCAUUUAAAAUAGACUUAUUGCCCUUCAAGGUCUCCCACCUCCUCCCAGCACCAAGUUCACGGAUGUGCACGUUGCUGGUCUGUAUUCUGCGGUGAUUGCAUAACUGAGUGAGCACAAGGAGGCCUUACCUGCAGCACAGUCAGCCUCUUGUGCUGCAGUCCCCUUCCCUGGCCCACCCCUCACAGCUGUUCAAAGGCUUUUAUUAGUAGCUCCAUCUUGCAGAGAUAAGUUACUGAAUUUCAGUGAUUGAUAAUGAAGCAGGCACUCCAUACCGAGAUCAAUGGGAUGGCAGUAAAGGGACCAUGGGGCUUCAAUGAAGCACAUCAUUUUCCUCCGACCGGAAGCCAUGGGUUUUUCACCUCAUACCUGAUUCUCCCAUGAUCCUCUCACUGCCAGCCCUCCCUGCCAUGCCCACCCUGCAGUCCCCACCUGGUCUCAGGUGCGUCUCUCUCCCUGCUAUGUGGCCAGUACCUGACUGCCCUUGACUGACCCUGCCCUAUCUCUGUUUUGCACUGCCCAUGACUGACCCUGCCCUAUCUCUUCUCUCUAGUUAAAUGGUGAACUCCACCAAGUUGUAGCCUUCUCACCUGUUUUAAGAAACUCCAGCUUCUAGUGGGCUAGUCCUCAGCAGAUAAGCUUAAGAUUACAGUGGAACCAAGAAAUGUUGUGGUGGAAAAAAAAAAAAAAGAAAAAAAAUCGUCAUCAUUGAAUCCAAUCCAUGUAAUUUUAUCAACAAGAGAAUUCAGACUUGGGAAUUCUGUGAAUGGCCUGAGGUCAUGCAGAAAAGUAAUAGCGAAAGCCUUGUGAAAAGAACUUUAUUUUUCUUGUUCCCGGGACAAUGACUAUUUUUAUCACAUGCAUUCCUUCUACAAGUGUAGGAACUUACUCAUUUUAUGAAAUGAAGAUUGGAUGCCACUGGUCAUAUCUGUCUUCAAAAAAAAAAAAAAAGAGAGAGGGUGAAGUCACAUCAUUAAAUAUAUUGUAAGAUGUUCAUCUUCCUAGAGGGAGAAAUUAAACCAAGAAACUAGCUUGCAUUUUAUUAGAAUCCAGUACCAUGUGUAAAUGUAUUUUCUUUCCUUCUAAGGUCUCUGGGCUAAUGAUCAUAUUUGGUCAUUUGACUCUGCAGAAUGUCACUGAACAGAACUGUUCACAUAGAGCCUAACAGCAGAGAAGCCACAUCCAGCCACAGACUUAAACAACAGAGAACAGGCUGGGUGCCAGGAAGGAGCUGGUAGGACUGUAUCCAUGAAAAGCCACCCAGAGUGCUCUAACCAGCAAGGUCACAGCAGUUGCCCACUGUCAGACCCUCAUGAGGCAUCUUACUGGACUGGAAGAAGCAGGCUCCCAAGCAGAGCUCCAGGGGUCUUCAUACUCUUGGGUCCUCUUAGUUCCUUAUUCUAAUGUUUGUUCAGUCCAAAGUGUCACAGGAGUCUUUGUCCCCAGUAGAGUUAACACAAGGAGUUAGGCUGCACUUGAUUGGUGCUGCUCCAAAUAGCCUAACAGGGAUCCAUUUGUCAGCACAGGGAAAAAGCCAAUUUAUUUGAAUUAAUGUGUCUGUGUGUGGGGGGGGGGUCUGUGUGUGUGUGCGAGUACACACUUGCACUUGUGCAUUUUUUAAAGAAUUGAGCUCUUUAAAAAUCCAAAUCACUGAAUUAUUGAUGUGAUCCUUAAUCAGUCACCUAUUGGGACACUAUGAAGGGAGAAAAACACCUCAUUUCUGGAGACAUUCAUAAUGCUGAUAUCCUUGGAUUCCAGGUCUUUACAAGGCUUGCUAUACACUUCUUUUUUUAAAAAAAAAUUAAGUCCAUCUUAUGCUUUAGAAUAUCAAAUGCUUUCUGUAGUCCAAGAUGGACUCUCCAUUUAUUAUUGCAAAUGAUGAUCUAGCAAAGUUCUACUAUUGAUGCCAAAAAAUUAUUGCUACUGGAAAAGAGACUCAAAAGUCUCUAUCUGCUCACUUUGCAUUUUCUCCACACAUGAUUUUUAAAAGUAUUUUUUUAAAGGAAUGUUGACAUUCCUUUUAAUUGUCUCUGAAUUAAUUUAUUCUGCAUAUGUCAAAUCCAUCUAAGCCUAUCUUUUUCGCUUGCUACUUGAAAAUAUAUAUUAAUGCCUUGUCUUACGAACCCCUUUUUCUUCCUUAGAGAAAAAUCAAAGGAAAAAAGUAAUGAUAUGAGAACUGUCAUUUAUUUAAAAUUGCUCUGUGGAACACCUUAAUUAGAACCCUUGCAGUUAUAGUGUCUAGCUUACUAUGUUUCUGAGUUUAUGACAACUGUAAAAAUCAUUUAUAGCAACAUAAAAAUCAACUUCCGAGUUGCCUUAGAUAAACCUGACACAUUGGAAGGCUCCUUUGAAAAUCAGAAUAGGAACUUCUUAGAGAAGAUGAUUUGAAAUAUUUUUAACGGUGUCUUGCUGGCAGUCCACAUGUGCAUGAAUAAUCAGAGUUCAUCAUAUGUUGAGAGUUACUAAUGUUGUGAUUUAUUAAUUUAUGACUCAUGUAAGCUUAUUAUUUUUUUUCUCCUUUUCUCCUCCUGCCCCACCUUAACAGAAAUGUUUCUUCUUCCUCAAAUUCCUACUUCAAAUGCACCUUUGUGUCUGUUUGAUGUAAAUGAAGAUCAUGACAUUGAAAUCUCACAUGUUUUCAAAAAGGAGAGACUAAUUUUUAAAAAGAAUCAGAAAAGAAUGGGUUGCAGAGAAUGAAGGCCAGAUAGCCAACCCACCUGGCUGAGUCACCCAGUUGAGAUGGAGCUUGAAUUGAAGGGGAUGUGAGCUACAGCAACUGUGUAUUUCUCAUUCACCCGUUAUGAGAAGCUUAAGGUUUCCAGCGUAUCCUACAGCAAAAAACUGAGCUUUUUAAAAAAGUACUAUAAAAUCUAUAUCCUACAGAUACACAUAUAAGCUUCUCUAUCUUGGGGCAUAUUCUUAUGUAGGACAAGACUGAUGUUUGUCAUGUUGUUAGUACCUGGGUUCCAUUAUUGUUUGUCUUGAUGUGGAGAAAUGUAGUUCUCCUGUUUAACAUCAUAACCCAUUCGCUAAAGUGAUCAAAUAUGUCUCAAAACAAUGUUGGCCUCAAAUAAUUUUAAAGAACUCAUCAUUCAUUACAUUCUUUUCUCCAUCAGUAUAAAUUCUGAAUUUCAAGUCAGAGAGCCCAUAAAACAGCUCCUUCUGGUGGUGUUCUAGAUGUGGGGAGAAGAGGCCUGCUUCCCUGGGCUCUGUAUACAUCUGUGCAUCUCCAUGUGUGCAUGUAAAUGGGUGCAUAUGCAUAUCAGUUCUCUCAAAUUGGGAGCAAAUAAAUAAUUUUUUCCUAAAAUAAAAAUCAAGUGUACUCCUGCCACCAGAGUGGUGGAGAGAAGUGAGUGAGUUUGCAAAUCUCCAGCAGCAAGGGGUUGAGGAUGUCAGAUAAUCAAGCAGAGAAGCAGAGUUCAUAAACAAAGAAAAAGCUUAGGAUGCUUGUUUGUAGACAGGGGACUCAAAGACCAGUAGCUCUAAGUCAAGGACCAGCCUUUGCAUCAGGAAUCCCGUCUGUUCUGAAUCCAAAUAACAUCAAUCCCAGAUUUUAAUAUUUGAAAAUUGAUCCUUAAAGGAUCUUUAUGGAUCUCUUUUCAUAAAGAAAUGUUCUAGUUUUUUUUUUAUGUGAAAAUUGGCUGUCUAAAGAAGAACUGAAUUUAUGGAAAAUUAUCUACAGCGAUUAUAAUUUCAACUAAGAUAAUGAAACUGGAGUGUGAGUUUCACAACAGUGUUUUCCCCUAGAACAAUGAAAAGAGCAAAAACAGUUAAGACCAUAUUCCAUUCCCCUUCUCCAUUUUAUCUUGCCUUAGAAUUCUUGGAGAUUAAAUAUGAAGAAAUCUUAAAUGUGAUAAAGAGAUCUCUCUGUACCAGAAUCUGUUGUAAGAAAAAUUUACUCUCUUUGCCAAAUUGGCAAAAUAAAAUCAGAACUACAUCAA